UCUGGAACUGCCAUCAAAACUUUUCAGCUAGAGUUUGAUAGAGGAAAGCAGAAUUUCUAGUGUAGAGGUGAAAUUCGUAGAUAUUAGAAAGAAUACCAAUUGCGAAGGCAGCUUUCUGGAUCAUUACUGACACUGAGGAACGAAAGCAUGGGUAGCGAAGAGGAUUAGAUACCCUCGUAGUCCAUGCCGUAAACGAUGUGUGUUAGACGUUGGAAAUUUAUUUUCAGUGUCGCAGCGAAAGCGAUAAACACACCGCCUGGGGAGUACGACCGCAAGGUUAAAACUCAAAUGAAUUGACGGGGACCCGCACAAGUAGUGGAGCAUGUGGUUUAAUUCGAAGAUACGCGCAGAACCUUACCAACACUUGACAUGUUCGUCGCGACUUUAAGAGAUUAAAGUUUUCGGUUCGGCCGGACGAAACACAGGUGCUGCAUGGCUGUCGUCAGCUCGUGUCGUGAGAUGUUGGGUUAAGUCCCGCAACGAGCGCAACCCUCACUUUUAGUUGCCAUCAUUAAGUUGGGCACUCUGAAAGAACUGCCAGUGAUAAGCUGGAGGAAGGUGGGGAUGACGUCAAGUCCUCAUGGCCCUUACGUGUUGGGCUACACACGUGCUACAAUGGUAUCUACAACAGGAAGCAAGACGGCGACGUUAAGCAAAUCCUUAAAAGAUACCUCAGUUCGGAUUGCACUCUGCAACUCGAGUGCAUGAAGCUGGAAUUACUAGUAAUCGUGGAUCAGCGUGCCACGGUGAAUGCGUUCCCGGGUCUUGUACACACCGCCCGUCACACCAUGGGAGUUGGUUCUACCUUAAGGCAAGGUUUAAAACCCUUGACCACGGUAUAGUCAGCGACUGGGGUGAAGUCG
rnacentral:rRNA from 1 species